UACGUAGGGGGCAAGCGUUGUCCGGAUUUAUUGGGCGUAAAGAGCUCGUAGGCGGCUUGUCGCGUCGUCCGUGAAAACUUGGGGCUCAACCCCAAGCUUGCGGUCGAUACGGGCAGGCUAGAGUUCGGUAGGGGAGACUGGAAUUCCUGGUGUAGCGGUGAAAUGCGCAGAUAUCAGGAGGAACACCGGUGGCGAAGGCGGUUCUCUGGGAAUAUCCUGACGCUGAGACGCGAAAGCGUGGGGAGCGAACAGG
rnacentral:rRNA from 1 species